rnacentral:rRNA from 1 species
CCUACGGGAGGCAGCAGUGAGGAAUAUUGGUCAAUGGGCGAGAGCCUGAACCAGCCAAGUCGCGUGAGGGAGUACUGCCCUAUGGGUUGUAAACCUCUUUUGUCGGGGAGCAAAAGCCGGACGUGUCCGGCUGUGAGAGUACCCGAAGAAAAAGCAUCGGCUAACUCCGUGCCAGCAGCCGCGGUAAUACGGAGGAUGCGAGCGUUAUCCGGAUUUAUUGGGUUUAAAGGGUGCGCAGGCGGAUUUUUAAGUCAGAGGUAAAAUCGUGGGGCUCAACCCCAUCCAGCCGUUGAAACUGGGGAUCUAGAGUGUGCGAGAGGUAUGCGGAAUGCGUGGUGUAGCGGUGAAAUGCAUAGAUAUCACGCAGAACCCCGAUUGCGAAGGCAGCAUACCGGUGCACAACUGACGCUCAGGCACGAAAGCGUGGGUAUCGAACAGGAUUAGAUACCCUUGUAGUC